UACGAAGGGGGCUAGCGUUGCUCGGAAUGACUGGGCGUAAAGGGCGCGUAGGCGGUUUGAACAGUUGGGCGUGAAAUUCCAGGGCUUAACCUUGGGACUGCGUUCAAUACGUUUAGACUUGAGUUCGGAAGAGGGUCGUGGAAUUCCCAGUGUAGAGGUGAAAUUCGUAGAUAUUGGGAAGAACACCGGUGGCGAAGGCGGCGACCUGGUCCGAAACUGACGCUGAGGCGCGAAAGCGUGGGGAGCAAACAGG
rnacentral:rRNA from 1 species